rnacentral:rRNA from 1 species
UUCGGUGUUUAUAACAUAAUUGGAUCCACACUAUACCAUUCCGAACAUAGUUGUUAAACAUUAUAGUGGCGAAAAUACUUUAAGAGUGAUCUUUUGGGAAAAUAGCACGAUGCCGAAA